rfam:Malassezia globosa CBS 7966 mgl_sf_7.1, whole genome shotgun sequence.
GCGCCAAUGGUUUAGUGGUAAAAUACAGCUUUGCCAUAAUGUUAGUGGAUUAGCUGUGCCGGGGGUUCGAUUCCCCCUUGGCGCA